GUCUACACGAGACAGCCAACACCUCCUGCCUCAGGGAACUUCUGCUGACCCACCUCACAGCCGAAGGGGUGACGUGAGGCGACGAAACAGGGGGGAGAAGCAAACUCCAAACAGCCUUUGAGGUUCCCAGUGCCUGCUGGUUGAUGUGACCCUCAUCCCAGGAGCUCGAUAUUGGAUUUCACUCGUAUGCGUCUGAUGUGCAGCUCCUGGGCGGACUUCGCCGGCCGGUACCAGUAGCUCUUCAGCUCUUUCCACAGAUCGUACCACGACUGAGUUGUCCCCUCCCAGGUGUGAAGGACGUCCACAAAGUUUGCGUCGUCGGGGGAGAGGCGCUUGCUGGGGUCCACUCCUUCAAACAUAGGGCCGGCCGGAUCCAAGCCUGGUGUUGGAGAGAAGUACACAAGAUGC